UAAAUUGUCAGGCAGGGCCCACUUCAAUUCUUUGACGGAGUAGGCUGCAGUUUUGUGAUAGUUUUUCAGAAUAUCACAUGUCAACUAAUCUAUGAAGAAACGGUGCAAUUGUACAAUAGGAUGGAAAAUAUAGAGAUAAAAUAUGCUAAAGGGAAUUGAUUGUGUUUGUGCAUGAUAAUUAAGGAAUUAAGUUCAGGUGGGCGAUGGCCUGUUCCUUUUCAGCAAGUAGACUUGAGGCCAUAGUAGUCCAUAUUUAUUCUUACGCAUAUAUUCGAAGAGAAAAAAAGUACUCCAACAACUCUAACGCUUCUGUUCUGCACAAAUGACACUGCACGACUGUUCUCAUAAAGUGGAUGAUAACGUUCAUCUUAUUGUAUAGGCAACAUACAUAGUAGCACAUUUUCUUCAACCGGCAACAUUCAUCUUAUUGUAUAGGCAACAUACCUGUGAUCGAUGAACAGACAGUUCGGUGUGCCAUUCAAAGGCACAUGUUUCUGAACAUCACAAGAACUGAAAGCGAAAGUGAACAAACCGAGCAACGAAUUCGC
rnacentral:lncRNA from 1 species